UACGUAGGGCGCAAGCGUUGUCCGGAAUUAUUGGGCGUAAGGAGCUCGUAGGCGGUUUGUCACGUCGGCUGUGAAAACCCGAGGCUCAACCUCGGGCCUGCAGUCGAUACGGGCAGACUAGAGUGCUGUAGGGGAGACUGGAAUUCCUGGUGUAGCGGUGAAAUGCGCAGAUAUCAGGAGGAACACCGGUGGCGAAGGCGGGUCUCUGGGCAGUAACUGACGCUGAGGAGCGAAAGCGUGGGGAGCAAACAGG
rnacentral:rRNA from 1 species